CAAUAGCGUAUAUUAAAGUUGUUGCAGUUAAAAAGCUCGUAGUUGAACUUCUGGCUGUGGCUCCAGCAGGCUUCGGUCGCUGGCGUUGCGGUCAUCCGCUUGGGAACUACGUUCGGACUUCACUGUUCGGCGUAAGGAACAGGCACUUUACUUAGAAAAAAUUAGAGUGUUCAAGGCAGGCUAUCGCCCUGAAUACACAAGCUUGGAAUAAUGAAAUAGGACUUUUUCCAUUUUAUUGGUUAUUGGAGAGAGUAAUGAUUAAUAGGGACAGUUGGGGGCAUUAGUAUUUCGUUGUCAGAGGUGAAAUUCUUGGAUUUACGAAAGACUAACUUAUGCGAAAGCAUUUGCCAAGGAUGUUUUCAUUAA
rnacentral:rRNA from 1 species